UACGUAGGGGGCGAGCGUUGUCCGGAAUUAUUGGGCGUAAAGAGCGUGUAGGCUGUUCGGUAAGUCUGCCGUGAAAACCUGAGGCUCAACCUCGGGCGUGCGGUGGAUACUGCCGGGCUAGAGGACGGUAGAGGCGAGUGGAAUUCCCGGUGUAGCGGUGAAAUGCGCAGAUAUCGGGAGGAACACCAGUAGCGAAGGCGGCGUUCUGGACUGCAACUGACACUGAAAAACGAAAGCCAGGGGAGCAAACGGG
rnacentral:rRNA from 1 species